CAGAGAAUAGUUUAUAUAAAAUUUUAGUUUUGGAGACUAAUGAAGAGAGUAAUCUUUUCUCUGA
rnacentral:tRNA from 1 species